rnacentral:rRNA from 1 species
UACGUAGGGCGCAAGCGUUGUCCGGAAUUAUUGGGCGUAAAGAGCUCGUAGGCGGCUUGUCACGUCGGAUGUGAAAGCCCGAGGCUUAACCUCGGGUCUGCAUUCGAUACGGGCUAGCUAGAGUGUGGUAGGGGAGAUCGGAAUUCCUGGUGUAGCGGUGAAAUGCGCAGAUAUCAGGAGGAACACCGGUGGCGAAGGCGGCGACCUGGUCCGAAACUGACGCUGAGGCGCGAAAGCGUGGGGAGCAAACAGG